UACGUAGGGUGCAAGCGUUAAUCGGAAUUACUGGGCGUAAAGCGUGCGCAGGCGGUGAUGUAAGACAGUUGUGAAAUCCCCGGGCUCAACCUGGGAAUGGCGAUGAAGACUGCAAGGCUAGAAUCUGGCAGAGGGGGGUAGAAUUCCACGUGUAGCAGUGAAAUGCGUAGAGAUGUGGAGGAACACCGAUGGCGAAGGCAGCCCCCUGGGCUGAGAUUGACGCUCAGGCACGAAAGCGUGGGGAGCAAACAGG
rnacentral:rRNA from 1 species